GCGUGGCUGGGUGGCCCCAAGAGGCGAUUCCCCGACCUGCUGCGGGGGCGGGAGGGGAGGGGACUCCCACGUCCUUACCUCUUGGAUUCCAAGGCCCCGGGUGACCCGGAGCCUCAGGCCUGUGUGCGAGCUCGCCACCGCUAAGAGACUCAGGCGCCCCCUGCGGGAGCCCCGGCCGCAGGCCCAGGGACAGCAGGCCUCCGGCUCUAUCCCGUUUUUCUCUCUCUCUGACGACUUCUGGAACAGGGAAAUCUUGCCAUUCGACUGCUCUACAUGCAACACUCCACUCAAGCCAGCCCUGAGAUUAAGGGCCCACCUCCUUAGAAAUCACCUGGUGACAACCCCUGUCAACCAUCCGAGAGGACACUGAAUGACCUGGACACUCCUCAACCUACAACUGUUCCCGACCCAACUACUACAAGACCUCUGGAUCAGCGCCCCGAAUGGAACCUCCUACGAAGAUCUGACCAUGUCGAUGUCUCAUCCGUGGCUCCAGGGGACCUUCUACAACCUAAGUCCAGACGAAUUUGAUUUCUUUACUCUCAUUCUCUACAUCAUUCUACAUCCUAAUGAACACUGUUCCUCUUCAGAUUAAGCAACCACCAACUUGGGGCCUUCUGCCCCUCACCCUGACUGGCCUUUCCCCAUCUCUCUCACUAUAACUGCACUUUUAAUCUUAGUCCUUGCUAUAGACCUCGUAACUGUCCCCCUCAGGACUGGUCCCCUAUCCUUUGUCUCUUCGUCGGUAUCGCCUACGUUGUUAGCUGUGUUCUACUCCUGGGGUGCUAUUUCCCCCACACUGCCUAACUAACAGCCCCAUGACUCCGCUGUUCCUUAUCCUUGCUGCACUCCUCUGCCUUCUGACUAGUCCCCCCCUGCUCAGACAUUUAUUCCUAUGUUCAUUCCUCAUGUUAUAAUACAGCUCCAAGACCAUGCACCAUGAACCUCGGCGGGGGGAGUCCAAAUCCCUAUUCACUGUUAAAGUACAGAAGAGAAGGAGUUUCGAGAGCACCCGCCAUAAGCCAAAUGGAAGAAACAUAUGUCUCUAUCCUGUUACCCACUCGGGGCGAGGGGGUGGGGGGAGGGUACCCAGACAGCGGGGGGUACCAGAUCAAUAUCGGGCAAAGAAACAAGAACAAAUCAUAAAGAACAUAGUUUCCCAGUUAUCGGUGACCCUGAGCCUUAUAAACGCCUAGACUUCCUUUCCCAAUUACGGCCUCUCCUAAAACCUCCUUCUGACAACCAACGCCUUACCCGCCUUCUCAACUCUUCUUUCCAAUUCUUCCAGUACACACAACACAUACCCCAGUGUUGGAUACGCAUGUCACUGUCUCCCUCACCACACAUAGCAAUUCCCUUACCCUCAACCUGGUUGCCACAGGGCAACUAUACCUCCCCUCCCCAACAAAAAACUACAUCACUCAUCGGGCCAGUCUCUGACAAUGUCCUUCUCUCAGGCUCUUCAAAUCUAACCUGUAUCAACUACUCUAAUCCCAACUACACUGGUCUUACAAACUCCGCUCCCUCCUUUUGUUCCACUUGGGUUUUCUGGAACAGCACAAAUAAUUGCACCAACCUGGUGCAAUUCUCUGUGAGACUCAUUCUCUGUGGG